AUUGAACGCUGGCGGCAUGCUUUAUACAUGCAAGUCGAACGGUAACAGGCCGCAAGGUGCUGACGAGUGGCGAACGGGUGAGUAAUGCAUCGGAACGUGCCCAGUCGUGGGGGAUAACUACUCGAAAGAGUAGCUAAUACCGCAUACGAUCUAUGGAUGAAAGCGGGGGACCGUAAGGCCUCGCGCGAUUGGGGCGGCCGAUGUCAGAUUAGGUAGUUGGUGGGGUAAAGGCUCACCAAGCCAACAAUCUGUAGCUGGUCUGAGAGGACGACCAGCCACACUGGGACUGAGACACGGCCCAGACUCCUACGGGAGGCAGCAGUGGGGAAUUUUGGACAAUGGGCGCAAGCCUGAUCCAGCAAUGCCGCGUGCAGGAAGAAGGCCUUCGGGUUGUAAACUGCUUUUGUACGGAACGAAACGGCUCUGGUUAAUACCCGGGGCUAAUGACGGUACCGUAAGAAUAAGCACCGGCUAACUACGUG
rnacentral:rRNA from 1 species